UCCUACGGGAGGCAGCAGUAGGGAAUCUUCCGCAAUGGACGAAAGUCUGACGGAGCAACGCCGCGUGAGCGAAGAAGGCCUUAGGGUCGUAAACCUCUUUCGGCAGGGACGAAGCGAAAGUGACGGUACCUGCAAAAGAAGCACCGGCCAACUACGUGCCAGCAGCCGCGGUAAGACGUAGGGUGCAAGCGUUGUCCGGAAUUAUUGGGCGUAAAGAGUUCGUAGGCGGCUUGUCGCGUCGGAAGUGAAAGCCCGGGGCUUAACCCCGGGCCUGCUACCGAUACGGGCAGGCUAGAGGGAAGCAGGGGAGAGUGGAAUUCCUGGUGUAGCGGUGGAAUGCGCAGAUAUCAGGAGGAACACCGGUGGCGAAGGCGGCUCUCUGGGCUUUACCUGACGCUGAGGAACGAAAGUGUGGGGAGCAAACAGGCUUAGAUACCCUGGUAGUCCACACCGUAAACGUUGGGCGCUAGGUGUGGGGAACAUUCCACGUUCUCCGUGCCGCAGCUAACGCAUUAAGCGCCCCGCCUGGGGAGUACGGCCGCAAGGCUAAAACUCAAAGGAAUUGACGGA
rnacentral:rRNA from 1 species